GCUCUGACUGUGGGAAGAGAUUCACAACAUCACAAGCUCUGACAAUUCAUCAGAGAGUGCACACUGGAGAGAAGCCUUACUCCUGCUCUGACUGUGGGAAAAGUUUCUCCCGAUUGGAUAAGUUAAAAAGUCACCAACUAAUACACAUAGCRAAGCCAUUCUCCUGYUCUGACUGUGGUAAGUGCUUCAAAACAUCAACUGAGCUAACAGUUCAUCAGAGAACACACACAGAAGAGAAGCCUUACUUCUGCUCUGACUAUGGGAAGAGUUUCUCCCAAUUGGAAAAGUUAAAAUGUCCCCAGCGAAUACAUAUAGACAAAGUCUCACUUCUGCUCUGACUGUGGGAAGAGUUUCCGAUUUAGAUACCUUUUAAAAUGUCACCAGCGUAUACAUACAGGAGAGAAGCCUCAUCAGUUCUCUCAGACCAGCUAAGAGUAAAGUCAUUACAUCACUUCCUUCUCAUCUCAUAAAUGAAGUGGUAACAGUGAAUUUGAUAACAUUUAAGAAAGAAUAAAACACUAUUGGGAUCCUAUUGUUUCUCACUGUGAGAGAACUGUGCAGAGGAAAGGGAGCGUUAUAGAAUGUUAGYUUCUCGUUAAUUUACUGAUCAGUGUGCACCAUGUCAGUUUUUUGUUGUGUUUUGUUAGUUUCUACUGUAAAGAUAUUGAGAUGACCGUGGAUUUGCCCUUAGGGUUGAAUAUCCUACGAGGCUUCUUACGUUGAAACAAUGUAGUCUGACUGUUGACUGUGUGGGACUCUGUGGGAAUAAGUUAGUAGAUACAACAUGUAUCAGAUAGAGAUGGUGUGAUGAUCAGUUUUCUGUGGGAAUGAGUUAGUAGACACAACAUGUAUCAGAUAGAGAUGGUGUGAUGAUCAGUUUUCUGUGGGAAUGAGUUAGUAGACACUACAUGUAUCAGAUAGAGAUGGUGUGAUGAUCAGUUUUCUGUGGGAAUGAGUUAGUAGAUACAACAUGUAUCAGAUAGAGAUGGUGUGAUCAGUUUUCACCAUUUAGUUUGGUUGUUUUUUUGUUGUUUUGUUUUUUACUACUAAGCAACUUUUGUUUAAUGAUAUACAUACUUUGAAACGAUAAACAUGUUUAUUAAAUUGUCUUAAAUAGAUGUAUUAUUUUCGUCAUUGAUGAAUGUAUUUGGAUGUCUGCACUGAACUUAAUUGAUGUGCGAAUGAAAAAUACAUAUUCUACUUGAAUUUGUGCUGGUCAAACUUUGGGUUAUCUAUACAGACAAUGCAAUGUUUUUGUUUAAUUGAUGAUAUUCAAACUAAUUUAAAUGUCUAUGUAUCUACUCAAUACAUGUCACUUCACCUCUACAUGCCAAUUAGCUAGCCCCCUGUAUGUUCUACAAUACAUACAAAUAAUGUUUUCAGGAUAAAGGACAUGUAUUUCAUAUUUAAGUAAAAGUUAAAUAAAAUAACAUUUAUUUUGUCAAUG